rnacentral:lncRNA from 10 species
CUGGCAGGUUUACACAGAAGUCAUGCCGGGAAACCAUAAUGCUUUUUUAUUCUAACUAACUUGUAAUAUUAGUGGGAAGAGGGUCCACUGAAGAUUUAGUGCUUUUUGAUUUUAGAAAAGCCUUUGAUUCAGUGUCUCAUGAAAUCUGACUGGCAAAAUUAAUUUAAAUUGGCACAGACAGGGACCGUCUCAGGGAUGGGGCUCGGCUGAAAGGCUAUAAACACAGGCGUGAUGAAUGGGAGACGCAGACCAGAGGGGCAAGGGGGCAGGCCCGGGCCUGCUGCUGGGCGAGGUGAGAUCAGCAGAAGCGGAAACCCGAUCACAUCGUCGGUCUCCAUGAAGGUCUUGAGGAACCAUGACUGGCCACCUCUGGGCUCUGUCUAUUUCCCUCCUUGACCGUCGAGGAGAAGUAGACAUUGUGUUGAGAGCAAUCACCAUCACCGUGAUCAACAAACAUACCAAAAGUAUAAAACUUGGAAAGAUGGGAUAACAGAUCAAAAUAAAGGAAACUGGUAAACAAAGUCUCAUCUUUGUACGUCCUCAGGAAAUUGGGAACCUACCAUGUACUGGAAUAACUGCGGGGAACACGGCGAACUAUGUGGCCACUAUCCCUGGAAAGGCAAGACCUACACCUGAAACACAAGAGAAUGCUGAUGAGAAAACCCUUCCUUACCCCACUGGCAUUUG